CGGGGUGGAUUAGUGGCGAACGGGUGAGUAACACGUGGGCAAUCUGCCCUGCACUCUGGGACAAGCCCUGGAAACGGGGUCUAAUACCGGAUACUGAUCGCCUUGGGCAUCCUUGGUGAUCGAAAGCUCCGGCGGUGCAGGAUGAGCCCGCGGCCUAUCAGCUUGUUGGUGAGGUAAUGGCUCACCAAGGCGACGACGGGUAGCCGGCCUGAGAGGGCGACCGGCCACACUGGGACUGAGACACGGCCCAGACUCCUACGGGAGGCAGCAGUGGGGAAUAUUGCACAAUGGGCGAAAGCCUGAUGCAGCGACGCCGCGUGAGGGAUGACGGCCUUCGGGUUGUAAACCUCUUUCAGCAGGGAAGAAGCGAAAGUGACGGUACCUGCAGAAGAAGCGCCGGCUAACUACGUGCCAGCAGCCGCGGUAAUACGUAGGGCGCGAGCGUUGUCCGGAAUUAUUGGGCGUAAAGAGCUCGUAGGCGGCUUGUCGCGUCGGUUGUGAAAGCCCGGGGCUUAACCCCGGGUCUGCAGUCGAUACGGGCAGGCUAGAGUUCGGUAGGGGAGAUCGGAAUUCCUGGUGUAGCGGUGAAAUGCGCAGAUAUCAGGAGGAACACCGGUGGCGAAGGCGGAUCUCUGGGCCGAUACUGACGCUGAGGAGCGAAAGCGUGGGGAGCGAACAGGAUUAGAUACCCUGGUAGUCCACGCCGUAAACGGUGGGCACUAGGUGUGGGCGACAUUCCACGUCGUCCGUGCCGCAGCUAACGCAUUAAGUGC
rnacentral:rRNA from 1 species